rnacentral:lncRNA from 1 species
GUACUGGAGUAGUAUCCUUGAGAUUAACUUUCAGUUAAGUAUACUGGACUUUAUUUUUAUAUAUGUGUUACUGAGGGUAGUAAGGAGAAAAGAGGGCAGCAAAUAUAUAAAAUGUUUCAUUUCAGAGAGAAAUUACUCAGAUGCUAGAUAACGGGUUUUAUCUUGACAAACAAAUCUCUGUUCCUUUAUUGUAGUACAGUGAACUCCCCAGUGAUGGCCUAUAAAACAGCUAUACUUACACUCGAGGAUAUAAUAACGUAGUUUUUGAUACUGAAAGUUUUAGGUACUGAAAGUAACAUAAGCUUUUAACUCUUUAAAUCUCUAUCAGUUAGAUGGCAUGAAUGGCUUGAGAAUUUUUU